GAUGAACGCUAGCGGCAGGCUUAAUACAUGCAAGUCAAGGGGGUAGCAAUACUACCGGCGCACGGGUGAGUAACACGUACAUAACAUACCAUAUACUGGGGUAUAGCUUUGGGAAACUGAAGGUAAUCCCCCAUAACAUUGCGAGAGGGCAUCUGAUUGCAAUUAAAGUUUCGACGGUAUAUGAUUGAUGUGCGUUUGAUUAGCUUGUUGGUAGGGUAACGGCCUACCAAGGCGACGAUCAAUAGCUGGCGUGAGAGCGCGACCAGCCACACUGGAACUGAGACACGGUCCAGACUCCUACGGGAGGCAGCAGUAGGGAAUAUUGGACAAUGGAGGAAACUCUGAUCCAGCCAUGCCGCGUGAUAGAUGAAGGCCCUCUGGGUUGUAAAUAUCUUUUAUCUGGGAAGAAACACUCCUAUUCUUAGGAACUUGACGGUACCAGAGGAAUAAGCACCGGCUAACUCCGUGCCAGCAGCCGCGGUAAAGUACAGU
rnacentral:rRNA from 1 species